rnacentral:lncRNA from 1 species
UGAUUGACAUCCUAAAAAAAAAAGCAAAAAAAAAAAAAAAACAACCAACCAACAGCCUUCCUUGAUUGACAAUCUGUUUUUGAAUUCCUAGACGGCACUCGACUGGGCAGUGAAGCACGGCAAUCUUGAGAUGGCAGAGAUGGUCGCCAAAGCAGGCGUCGAUGUCAAUGCUAAAUCGUAAUACUUUAAUACACCUAU